UUUUUCUUUUCCUACUGGAAUUCUACAUCAAACUAUUUCAUUCAUCUCUAUAGAAGAUAUUAUACAGAUUCUAUACCUAUCGCUUUUACACAAGUCCAGAGCAUAUCUUCUAUAAACUUACAUCUAGGCAACAGAAAACUUUUAAUUUCCAGCAGAGACUGCAUGGUUUAGACAGAAUAUGCGCCAAAGCCUGAAACCUAGAUGAUGUCCUGAACAUUGGCAUCUUCCCUUGGUAAUGGAUAGGAUAAAAUCCAUUGUUGAUAUUAUCUGUUACAAGGGAGGACAGAUUGAAAAGAACCUGUGUGUAGCCUAUGACAUUCUGUAUGUAGACCUAGAACGUUUGGGAUGUCCAAAGGCAAAAGAUUUGGGAAAGAAUUGUUAUAAUCAUUAUAAUUUUAAAAACCAUUGCAGUCUCUGCGAAGUCUUAUCCUACAGAUAUUG
rnacentral:lncRNA from 1 species